rnacentral:rRNA from 1 species
UAACUGAAGAGUUUGAUCAUGGCUCAGAUUGAACGCUGGCGGCAGGCCUAACACAUGCAAGUCGAGCGGAUGAAGGGAGCUUGCUCCUGGAUUCAGCGGCGGACGGGUGAGU